rnacentral:rRNA from 1 species
AACGAACGCUGGCGGCAUGCCUAACACAUGCAAGUCGAACGGAUGCAGCAAUGCAUCAGUGGCAGACGGGUGAGUAACACGUGGGAAUCUACCCAGUAGCCUGGAAUAACCGCGGGAAACUGCGGCUAAUACCGGAUACGCCCCUCGGGGGAAAGGAGCAAUCCACUAUUGGAGGAGCCCGCGUCCGAUUAGCUAGUUGGUGAGGUAACGGCUCACCAAGGCGAUGAUCGGUAGCUGGUUUGAGAGAACGACCAGCCACACUGGGACUGAGACACGGCCCAGACUCCUACGGGAGGCAGCAGUGGGGAAUAUUGGACAAUGGGGGAAACCCUGAUCCAGCAAUGCCGCGUGGGUGAUGAAGGCCUUCGGGUUGUAAAGCCCUUUUGGCGGGGACGAUGAUGACGGUACCCGCAGAAGAAGCCCCGGCUAACUUCGUGCCAGCCGCCGCGGUAA